GGAUGCGAUCAUACCAGCACUAAUGCACCGGAUCCCAUCAGAACUCCGAAGUUAAGCGUGCUUGGCGCGAGAGUAGUACUAGGAUGGGUGACCCCCUGGGAUCCCAGAACUCCUCGUGCUUGCAUCCC
rnacentral:rRNA from 1 species